rnacentral:rRNA from 1 species
AUUGAACGCUGGGGGCAUGCUUUACACAUGCAAGUCGAACGGUAACAGGGUGCUUGCACCGCUGACGAGUGGCGAACGGGUGAGUAAUGCGUCGGAACGUGCCGAGUAGUGGGGGAUAACGCAGCGAAAGUUGUGCUAAUACCGCAUACGUACUGAGGUAGAAAGUGGGGGACCUUCGGGCCUCACGCUAUUCGAGCGGCCGACGUCUGAUUAGCUAGUAGGUGAGGUAAAGGCUCACCUAGGCGACGAUCAGUAGCGGGUCUGAGAGGAUGAUCCGCCACACGGGGACUGAGACACGGCCCAGACUCCUACGGGAGGCAGCAGUGGGGAAUUUUGGACAAUGGGCGAAAGCCUGAUCCAGCCAUGCCGCGUGUCUGAAGAAGGCCUUCGGGUUGUAAGGGACUUUUGUCAGGGAGGAAAUCCCUAGUGCUAAUAACACUGGGGGAUGACAGUACCUGAAGAAUAAGCACCGGCUAACUACGUGCCAGCCGCCGCGGUAA